GGAGGGAUGGCUGAGAGGUUUAAGGCAUCCGGUUGCUAACCGGACGAUCGAAAGAUCCGAUAGGUUCGAAUCCUUCUCCCUUCGCCA
rnacentral:tRNA from 2 species